UACAGAGGGUGCGAGCGUUGUUCGGAUUUACUGGGCGUAAAGCGUGCGUAGGCGGCUUUUUAAGUCGGAUGUGAAAUCCCCGGGCUCAACUUGGGAAUUGCAUUCGAGACUGGGGAGCUUGAGUAUGGGAGAGGAUGGUAGAAUUCCAGGUGUAGCGGUGAAAUGCGUAGAGAUCGGGAGGAAUACCGAUGGCGAAGGCAGCCAUCUGGCCUAAUACUGACGCUGAGGUACGAAAGCAUGGGGAGCAAACAGG
rnacentral:misc_RNA from 1 species